UACAGAGGUCUCAAGCGUUGUUCGGAUUCAUUGGGCGUAAAGGGUGCGUAGGCGGCGCGGUAAGUCGGGUGUGAAAUUUCGAGGCUUAACUUCGAAACUGCAUUCGAUACUGCCGUGCUUGAGGACUGGAGAGGAGACUGGAAUUUACGGUGUAGCGGUGAAAUGCGCAGAUAUCAGGAGGAACACCGAUGGCGAAGGCAGGUCUCUGGGCCAUAACUGACGCUGAGAAGCGAAAGCAUGGGGAGCGAACAGG
rnacentral:rRNA from 1 species